rnacentral:rRNA from 1 species
GACGAACGCUGGCGGCGUGCCUAAUACAUGCAAGUAGAACGCUGAAGGAGGAGCUUGCUUCUCUGGAUGAGUUGCGAACGGGUGAGUAACGCGUAGGUAACCUGCCUGUUAGCUUGGGAUAACUAUUGGAAACGAUAGCUAAUACCGCAUAGUAGUACAUGUUGCAUGACAUUUGCCGAAAAGGUUCAAUUGCAUCACUACCAGAUGGACCUGCGUUGUUUUGGCUAGUUGGUGGGGUAUCGGAUCACCUAGGCGACGAUGCAUAGCCGACCUGAGAGGGUGAGCAGCCACACUGAGAGUGAGACACGGCACAGAGUGCUACGGGAGGCAGCAGUAGGGAUUCGGGGGCAAUGAACGGAAGUCUGACCGAGAAGCGCCGAGUGCGUGAAGAAGGUUUUCGGAUCGUAAAGCUCUGUUGUAAGGGAAGAACGCGUGUGAGAGUGGAAAGUUCACACUGUGACGGUAACUUACAAGAAAGGGACGGCUAACUACGUG